UGGGGAAUCUUGCACAAUGGGGGAAACCCUGAUGCAGCGACGCCGCGUGAGCGAUGAAGCCCUUCGGGGUGUAAAGCUCUUUCGGCAGGGAAGAUAAUGACGGUACCUGCAGAAGCAGCUGCGGCUAACUACGUGCCAGCAGCCGCGGUAAUACGUAGGCAGCAAGCGUUGUUCGGAGUUACUGGGCGUAAAGGGUGUGUAGGCGGUUGGAUAAGUGUGGUGUGAAAUCUCCCGGCUCAACUGGGAGGGUGCGCUACAAACUGUCUGACUAGAGUGUGGGAUGGGUAAGUGGAAUUCCUGGUGUAGCGGUGAAAUGCGUAGAUAUCAGGAGGAACACCGGUGGUGUAGACGGCUUACUGGACCAUAACUGACGCUGAGACACGAAAGCGUGGGUAGCAAACA
rnacentral:rRNA from 1 species